GACGAACGCUGGCGGCGUGCUUAACACAUGCAAGUCGAACGGAAAGGCCCUGCUUUUGUGGGGUGCUCGAGUGGCGAACGGGUGAGUAACACGUGAGUAACCUGCCCUUGACUUUGGGAUAACUUCAGGAAACUGGGGCUAAUACCGGAUAGGAGCUCCUGCUGCAUGGUGGGGGUUGGAAAGUUUCGGCGGUUGGGGAUGGACUCGCGGCUUAUCAGCUUGUUGGUGGGGUAGUGGCUUACCAAGGCUUUGACGGGUAGCCGGCCUGAGAGGGUGACCGGCCACAUUGGGACUGAGAUACGGCCCAGACUCCUACGGGAGGCAGCAGUGGGGAAUAUUGCACAAUGGGCGGAAGCCUGAUGCAGCAACGCCGCGUGCAGGAUGACGGCCUUCGGGUUGUAAACCGCUUUCGCCUGUGACGAAGCGUGAGUGACGGUAAUGGGUAAAGAAGCACCGGCUAACUACGUGCCAGCAGCCGCGGUGAUACGUAAGGUGCGAGCGUUGUCCGGAUUUAUUGGGCGGUAAAAGGGCUCGUAAGGUGGCUGAAUCGCGUCCGAAGUGUAAUCUUGGGGCUUAACCCUGAGCGUGCUUUCGAUACGGGUUGACUUGAGGGAGGUAGGGGAGAAUGGAAUUCCUGGUGGAGCGGUGGAAUGCGCAGAUAUCAGGAGGAACACCAGUGGCGAAGGCGGUUCUCUGGGCCUUUCCUGACGCUGAGGAGCGAAAGCGUGGGGAGCGAACAGGCUUAGAUACCCUGGUAGUCCACGCUGUAAACGGUGGGUACUAGGUGUGGGGUCCAUUCCACGGGUUCCGUGCCGUAGCUAACGCUUUAAGUACCCCGCCUGGGGAGUACGGCCGCAAGGCUAAAACUCAAAGGAAUUGACGGGGCCCCGCACAAGCGGCGGAGCAUGCGGAUUAAUUCGAUGCAACGCGUAGAACCUUACCUGGGUUUGACAUGGAUCGGGAGUGCUCAGAGAUGGGUGUGCCUCUUUUGGGGUCGGUUCACAGGUGGUGCAUGGCUGUCGUCAGCUCGUGUCGUGAGAUGUUGGGUUAAGUCCCGCAACGAGCGCAACCCUUGUUCACUGUUGCCAGCACGUUAUGGUGGGGACUCAGUGGAGACCGCCGGGGUCAACUCGGAGGAAGGUGGGGAUGACGUCAAGUCAUCAUGCCCCUUAUGUCCAGGGCUUCACGCAUGCUACAAUGGCUGGUACAGAGAGUGGCGAGCCUGUGAGGGUGAGCGAAUCUCGGAAAGCCGGUCUCAGUUCGGAUUGGGGUCUGCAACUCGACCUCAUGAAGUCGGAGUCGCUAGUAAUCGCAGAUCAGCAACGCUGCGGUGAAUACGUUCCCGGG
rnacentral:rRNA from 1 species